rnacentral:lncRNA from 10 species
UUGCAUUUUCUUAAUGGUGACUUUGAAGAGCAAAAGUGUUAAAAUUUGGUGAAGUCCAAAUUUAUCCAUUGUGUAUUUUUUGAAUCAUGUAUUUGGGGUUACACCUUUUAAAAAUCUUUGCCUAAUCUAAGGUCGUCUUUUUCUUUUCUUUUCUUUUCUUUCUUUCUCUUUUUUUUUUUUUGUUUUAAUAUUUUUGGGACAGAGUCUCACUCUGGUGCCAAGGCUGGAGUGCAGUGGCAAGAUCUCAGCUCACUGCAACUUCCACCUCCAAGGUUCAAGCAAUCCUUGUGCCUCAGCCUCCCAAGUAGCUGGGAUUACAGGCACGCACCACCACACCCGACUAAUUUUUGUAAUUUUAGUAGAG